GGAUUUGCAUAUUGUCCCCUAGGGAGGACCUUCCCGUGCAAGUCUGAGAUAAAAGAUCAACUCUCAACUUGUCUUGACCUAUCAGGACUCAUCAGUUUAACAUUGUCUCAACAUGAGGCUUCUUGCUUAGCUCCUGGGGCUCCUCAUGCUAUGGUUUCCAGGAUCCAGUGGGGAGGUUGUGAUGAUACAGACCCCACUGUCCCUGUCUGUCAGCCCUGGAGAGCCGGCCUCCAUCUCCUGCAGGGCCAGUCAGAGUCUCCGGCACAGUAAUGGAAACACCUAUUUGUAUUGGUACCUGCAAAAGCCAGGCCAGUCUCCACAGCUUCUGAUCGACUUGGUUUCCAACCAUUUCACUGGGGUGUCAGACAGGUUCAGUGGCAGCGGGUCUGGCACAGAUUUUACCCUGAGGAUCAGCAGGGUGGAGGCUGAGGAUGUUGGAGUUUAUUACUGCAUGCAAAGUACACAUGAUCCUCCCACAGCGGUUCAGCUCCCAACACAAACCUCUCUGGGUGUCGUGGCCCAGCUGCCCAUGUGUUGUUUGUCUGGGGAGCAGGCACAGCAGAGUCUCUCAGUCAGUGUAAGAGGAAGAUGCUGGGGAGCUCGAGGGGAUGGUUGAGGCUGUGGGUUCUGGAGCAUGAGAGCCUCAGCUGCACCCCAGCACCAUCUUUCAUGGCAUGUCAGCUGAAACCACCCAGGCAUGACAUGCAUAUCAGGGAGAAUGGGUGAGCUCUGAGCCACCAGUCAGGACAGAGGGAAGAGCUGAACGGAAGUUCAUCCUGGUCUUCCCUGCCUUGUGUACAGUUGGAAGUUAAAAUUCAGUGGGAAAGCCAAACAAGGGGGGGCCAGUCUUAGAAAUACAAGUGGAAUAUGUGCUGGUGUUUGAUAGGUUUCAUUUUUGGUAACUGAGUCAGUCUCCAUUCCAGUGAUAUGCCUUUGCAUUUUUCCUAUUUCUCCAUUGUUGGUUCUUGUCAGGGUGUAUGUUUCUAAGAAUUUUUUCAUUUCAUCUGGACAAUUCAAUGCAGGGAGAUACAACUGUUUGUAGCACUCCCUUACCAUCCAUUUAAUUCUGUAAAAUGUACUAAUGUCUGCAUUUUCAAAUCAAUUUUAGUAAUUUGAGUCUCCUUUUUUUCUUUUCUUUUUUUUUAAUUUUUAUUUAUUUAUGAUAGUCACAGAGAG